rnacentral:rRNA from 1 species
CACGUAGUUAGCCGGAGCUUUCUUGCAGAGUACCGUCAUUUUCGUCCCCUGCGACAGAACUUUACAACCCGAAGGCCGUCUUCAUUCACGCGGCAUCGCUGCAUCAGGGUUUCCCCCAUUGUGCAAUAUCCCCCACUGCUGCCUCCCGUAGGAGUCUGGGCCGUGUCUCAGUCCCAAUGUGGCCGUUCAACCUCUCAGUCCGGCUACCGAUUGUCGGUUUGGUGGGCCGUUACCCCGCCAACUGCCUAAUCGGACGCGAGCCCAUCUUUCAGCGGAUUGCUCCUUUGAUAUCAGUGCCAUGCGACUCCGAUAUUUUAUGCGGUAUUAGCGUUCGUUUCCAAACGUUAUCCCCCUCUGAAAGGCAGGUUGCUCACGUGUUACUCACCCGUCCGCCACUAAGUUCAGAUGCAAGCAUCUUCACUCCGUUCGACUUGCAUGUGUUAGGCGUGCCGCCAGCGUUCGUCCUUGAGCCAGGAUCAAACUCUA